rnacentral:misc_RNA from 1 species
UAAAAUUUUAAUUUUAAAAAUUUUGAAGGGGCAAACAUUAAUUCUUUUUAAAAAAUGUAAAAGUUUAUAGGUGAAAAUGUAAUUUUAAAUAAUUUUGGGGGGCCAUAGCCCGAGUAGUUUCGCCCCUGCUUUUUCCAUAAUUUCUUUGAUGUACGAUGAAUUUUUUUUUUUUUAGAAUUUACACAUACAAGUAAAUAUUUCAUUGGUGUCAAAAAGAACUCGUUAAACUCCAUUUAUGUAAGUUUAACCAAAAAAGAAAAAUUGCAGUAAAUUGACAGACAAAUGUAAAACUCAAUUAAUUCUCAUGACAUGGCCCAUUUAUUUUGGAAUGUCUUAG